UAUGAAUCUAGUGGAAUCACUUCUGCACAAACUUGACUACUGAAAUCAGUGUGCGGAAAUGCUUCUGCUACAUUUUUA
rfam:Gallus gallus isolate RJF #256 breed Red Jungle fowl, inbred line TCD001 chromosome 10, whole genome shotgun sequence.